AUUGAACGCUGGCGGCAGGCCUAACACAUGCAAGUCGAACGAGUGGCGGACGGGUGAGUAAUGUCUGGGAAACUGCCUGAUGGAGGGGGAUAACUACUGGAAACGGUAGCUAAUACCGCAUACCCUCCUAUGUGCCCAGAUGGGAUUAGAUUGUUGGUGGGGUAAGGGCUCACAAAGGCGACGAUCCCUAGCUGGUCUGAGAGGAUGACCAGCCACACUGGACUUGCGACACGGUCCAGACUCCUACGGGAGGCAGAAGUGGGGAUUAUUGCACAAUGGGCGCAAGCCUGAUGAAGCCAUGCCGGGUGUAUUAAGAAGGCCUUCGGGUUGUAAAGUACUUUCAGCGGGGAGGCGUUACCCGCAGAGGAAGCACCGGCUAACUCCGUGCCAGCAGCCGCGGUAAUAC
rnacentral:rRNA from 1 species